rnacentral:rRNA from 1 species
AUGAACGCUGGCGGCGUGCCUAAUACAUGCAAGUCGAGCGAACGGACGAGAAGCUUGCUUCUCUGAUGUUAGCGGCGGACGGGUGAGUAACACGUGGAUAACCUACCUAUAAGACUGGGAUAACUUCGGGAAACCGUAGCUAAUACCGGAUAAUAUUUUGAACCGCAUGGUUCAAAAGUGAAAGACGGUCUUGCUGUCACUUAUAGAUGGAUCCGCGCUGCAUUAGCUAGUUGGUAUGGUAACGGCUUACCAAGGCAACGAUGCAUAGCCGACCUGAGAGGGUGAUCGGCCACACUGGAACUGAGACACGGUCCAGACUCCUACGGGAGGCAGCAGUAGGGAAUCUUCCGCAAUGGGCGAAAGCCUGACGGAGCAACGCCGCGUGAGUGAUGAAGGUCUUCGGAUCGUAAAACUCUGUUAUUAGGGAAGAACAGAUGUGUAAGUAACUGUGCACAUCUUGACGGUACCUAAUCAGAAAGCAACGGCUAACUACGUG